CCAAUAGCGUAUAUUAAAGUUGUUGCAGUUAAAAAGCUCGUAGUUGAAUUUCGGGGUCAGCAAGUUGGUCGUGCCACCGGUAUGUACUGGCUUUGCUGAUUCCUCCUUCUUGUAGAACCGUAAUGCCAUUCACUUGGUGUUGCGGGGAAACAGGACUGUUACUUUGAAAAAAUUAGAGUGUUUAAAGCAGGUUAACGCCUGAAUACAUUAGCAUGGAAUAAUGAAAUAGGACGAGCGAUCUUAUUUUGUUGGUUUCUAGGAUUGACGUAAUGAUUAAUAGGGAUAGUUGGGGGCAUUAGUAUUCAAUUGUCAGAGGUGAAAUUCUUGGAUUUAUUGAAGACUGACUACUGCGAAAGCAUUUGCCAAGGAUGUUUUCAUUAAUCAAGAACGAAAGUUAGGGGAUCGAAGACGAUCAGAUACCGUCGUAGUCUUAACCAUAAACUAUGCCGACUAGGGAUCGGAUGAUGUUAAUUUUUUAAUGACUCAUUCGGCGCCUUACG
rnacentral:rRNA from 1 species